rnacentral:rRNA from 1 species
CCCUUAGACGUUCUGGGCCGCACGCGCGCUACACUGACCAGUGCAACAAGCAUCCGUCCUUGGCCGACAGGCCCGGGCAAUCUUUGAACGCUGGUCGUGAUGGGGAUAGACUUUUGCAAUUUUUGGUCUUCAACGAGGAAUUCCUAGUAAACGCAAGGCAUCAACUUGCAUUGAUUACGUCCCUGCCCUUUGUACACACCGCCCGUCGCACCUACCGAUUGAAUGGUCCGGUGAAGCCUCCGGAUUGGCGCGCACCUCGGUGCCGCCGAGAAGUUGGCUAAACCUUACCAUUUAGAGGAAGGUGAAGUCGUAACA